rnacentral:rRNA from 1 species
AGAGUUUGAUCCUGGCUCAGGACGAACGCUGGCGGCGUGCUUAACACAUGCAAGUCACGGGGGCUCGCAAGGGCAACCGGCGAACGGGUGCGUAACACGUGAGCAAUCUGCCGAUUUCUGGGGGAUAGCCGGCCCAACGGCCGGGUAAUACCGCAUACGCUUAUCGAGGGGAGUCCCUUGAUGAGGAAACCUCCGGGGGAGAUCGAGGAGCUCGCGACCUAUCAGCUAGUUGGCGGGGUAACGGCCCACCAAGGCGACGACGGGUAGCUGGUCUGAGAGGAUGGCCAGCCACAUUGGGACUGAGAAACGGCCCAGACUCCUACGGGAGGCAGCAGUGGGGAAUCUUGCGCAAUGGCCGAAAGGCUGACGCAGCGACGCCGCGUGUGGGAGGACGCCCUUCGGGGUGUAAACCACUGUUGCCCGGGACGAAUAUCCUUCUUUCGGAGGAUUGACGGUACCGGGUGAGGAAGCACCGGCUAACUCCGUGCCAGCAGCCGCGGUA